rfam:Triticum aestivum genome assembly, contig: Triticum_aestivum_CS42_TGACv1_scaffold_577132_7BL
CGAGUACUCCUUCCGUCCUGAAAUACUUGUCAUCAAAAUAGAUAAAAAAAGGAUGUAUCUAUAACUAAAAUACGUCUAAAUACAUCCCCUUUUAUUUAUCUUGAUGACAAGUAUUUUCGGACGGAGGGAGUAGGUC